rnacentral:rRNA from 1 species
CGAAGUCUGGUGUCUAGCAGCCGCGGUAAUUCCAGCUCCAAUAGCGUAUAUUAAAGUUGUUGCAGUUAAAAAGCUCGUAGUUGAAUUUCGGGACUAAUAUGUUGGUCGUGCCUCGGUACGUACUGAUAUUUUUGGUUUCUCCCUUCUGACGAACCUUGAUGUCAUUAAUUUGGUGUCUUGGGAAAUCAGGACUGUUACUUUGAAAAAAUUAGAGUGUUUAAAGCAAGCUAACGCUUGAAUACAUUAGCAUGGAAUAAUGAAAUAGGACGUUCGAUCCUAUUUUGUUGGUUUCUAGGAUUGACGUAAUGAUUAAUAGGGAUAGUUGGGGGCAUUAGUAUUCAAUUGUCAGAGGUGAAAUUCUUGGAUUUAUUGAAGACUAACUACUGCGAAAGCAUUUGCCAAGGAUGUUUUCAUUAAUCAAGAACGAAAGUUAGGGGGAUCGAAGACGAUCAGAUACCGUCGUAGUCUUAACCAUAAACUAUGCCGACUAGGGAUCGGAUGAUGUUAAUUUUUUAAUGACUCAUUCGGCGCCUUACG